UGGGGAAUUUUGGACAAUGGGGGCAACCCUGAUCCAGCAAUGCCGCGUGAGUGAAGAAGGCCUUCGGGUUGUAAAGCUCUUUUGUCAGGGAAGAAACAGCAGCUCUAACACAGUCUGCGAAUGACGGUACCUGAAGAAUAAGCACCGGCUAACUACGUGCCAGCAGCCGCGGUAAUACGUAGGGUGCGAGCGUUAAUCGGAAUUACUGGGCGUAAAGCGUGCGCAGGCGGUUAUACAAGACAGGCGUGAAAUCCCCGGGCUUAACCUGGGAAUGGCGUCUGUGACUGUAUAGCUAGAGUGUGUCAGAGGGGGGUGGAAUUCCACGUGUAGCAGUGAAAUGCGUAGAUAUGUGGAGGAACACCAAUGGCGAAGGCAGCCCCCUGGGAUAACACUGACGCUCAUGCACGAAAGCGUGGGGAGCAAACAGGAUUA
rnacentral:rRNA from 1 species